GGCUCUUUGAAUACGUAAUAUAAAGAGUCAGACCUGCCCAGUGAGAAAAACUUUAACGGCCGCGGUACUCUGACCGUGCAAAGGUAGCAUAAUCAUUUGCCUCUUAAUUAGAGGCUGGAAUGAACGGUUUAACAUGAGCAAGACUGUCUCUAUGCAAUUUUAUAAAAUUUAAUUUUUAGGUGAAGAAGCCUAUAUAUAAUUAAAAGACAAGAAGACCCUAUCGAGCUUUAAAAAAUUUAAAUGAAAUCUUUUAUAUUUAUAGAAAAAUUGCCUUUAAAAAUUUUAGUUGGGGCGACUAAGGAACAACAAAAACUUCUUUCUACUAACUAAGUUUACACACUUUGAUCCAGAAUUUUUGAUUAAAGAAAUUAGUUACCGUAGGGAUAACAGCAUAAUCUUUUUUGAGAGCUCUUAUCGAAAAAAAGGUUUGUGACCUCGAUGUUGGACCAGAAUAUCCUAAAGAUGCAACCGUCUUUAAGGGUUGGUCUGUUCGACCAUUAAAAUUCU
rnacentral:rRNA from 1 species